GAUGAACGCUGGCGGCGUGCCUAAUACAUGCAAGUCGAGCGAAUGACGAGGAGCUUGCUCCUCUGAUUUAGCGGCGGACGGGUGAGUAACACGUGGGUAACCUGCCUGUAAGACGGGGAUAACUCAGGGAAACCGGAGCUAAUACCGGAUGAUAACGAGAAGUGCCUGCUUCUUUUUUGAAAGUCGGUUUCGGCUGACGCGUACAGAUGGGCCCGCGGCGCAUUAGCUAGUUGGUGAGGUAACGGCUCACCAAGGCGACGAUGCGUAGCCGACCUGAGAGGGUGAUCGGCCACACUGGGACUGAGACACGGCCCAGACUCCUACGGGAGGCAGCAGUAGGGAAUCUUCGGCAAUGGACGAAAGUCUGACCGAGCAACGCCGCGUGAGCGAUGAAGGCCUUCGGGUCGUAAAGCUCUGUUGUCAGAGAAGAACAAGUACCGGAGUAACUGCCGGUACCUUGACGGUACCUGACCAGAAAGCCACGGCUAACUACGUGCCAGCAGCCGCAGUAA
rnacentral:rRNA from 1 species